rnacentral:rRNA from 1 species
AGUGAACGCUGGCGGUAGGCCUAACACAUGCAAGUCGAACGGCAGCACAGUAAGAGCUUGCUCUUACGGGUGGCGAGUGGCGGACGGGUGAGGAAUACAUCGGAAUCUACUUUUUCGUGGGGGUUAACGUAGGGAAACUUACUCUAAUACCGCAUACGACCUACGGGUGAAAGCAGGGGAUCUUCUGACCUUGCGCGAUUGAAUGAGCCGAUGUCGGAUUAGCUAGUUGGCGGGGUAAAUGCCCACCAAGGCGCCGAUCCGUAGCUGGUCUGAGAGGAUGGUCAGCCAGACUGGGAGUGAGACACGGUACAGAGUCCUACAGGAGGCAGCAGUGGGGAAUAUUGGAGAAAGGGCGCAAGCCUUAUCCAGACAUACCGCGUGGGUGAAGAAGGACUUCGGGUUGUAAAGCCCUUUUGUUGGGAAAGAAAAGCAGCAGGUUAAUACCCCGCUGUUCUGACAGGACACAAAGAAUAAGCACCGGCUAACUUCGUG